ACCUUGUGAUUCUUUUCACACACACCUUAAUCUUAGCUCUGGCUCGCUCAGGACCACAAUAUUUUUGCUUCAGUAUUUUCUUCUUCUUUUAUCAUCCAGGUGGCUGGUGCUCUGAAGAGCACAGGUC